UGUUAUGUGAUUAUGUGAUAUUGGUGAAUUGGUUUGUCUGAGUACCUAUAAUUAUUUUUAAAUAUUAUGGGAUUAUUAUAUGAAUUUUAUGAAUUUGGUGUUAUCUGAUUUAUUGAAUUGACCGCUCUUAUGUGUUAGUAUUUGAGAGAUUUCAAUUUCUAUAUGCUCAGGAGAAAAUAUAGUUUAUUUGGAUAUUUUCAUAUCGAUUUAUGGAAUUUUAGAUGAUUUUAUAAUUGAUUUACGGAUUUAAUUGCGGAUAUUUAUAUUUAAUUAUUGAUCGGUUGAUUUCCGUAAAAUCGUCCCCUCGUAACGGUUUAGCGAUUUUUCUUCCCGAAAGUUUCAACAAAACUCACCUUUAGCCUAAUUUGAAUAUUCCGGACAUUUUUCGUGUUUUGACUUUUUCGAUCCGGAGUACGGUUUUCCCCGGAGUCGGUCCGGCGGAGUUUUUCGGGUAUUUUAAUUGUUGAUAAUUAUCUGGUUGUCUCGAUAAACGUGAAACUAGAUAUUUUGAUUCAUCCUUAUCUUGUAAUAAUUGCAGUGGGACCCGCAUACUAAUGACUGAUUAAAAAGCCCCGUUUUGAUGAUUAUCUUGAAAACCAGUACCGAUUGGACCCCGCUUUAUUAAUAUAAAGCUAUUAAAUACGUAUUUUCAUGUCAUAAACGAUCCAAAGGGGUACCAAUUAUUUGUAAAUAUAAAUAGACCUUUCUAGAGCUUAUUUUCACCGUAGAAAUCAUUUUCACCAGUUUCUCUGCACGAAUACCGAGAGAAACCGAGCGGUGUUCUUCGUGUUCUUCAUAAUCAAACGAAGAUUUGAAGGUGUUAUUGGAGUCAGAAUCAAGCGUGCGAAUAGUCAAAUCGAAGGUAUCGAAGAGUAGAACCUAUAUCUGCAAUCAAAAAACAACAUGAGAUUCACAGGUAAGGAGUAAUUGAAGUUUUAAAAUUCGAGUUAUUAAGAUUUAAAUAGUGGAUUUUUGAAAAUGUGAUUGUUUGACUAUUUUGAUGAUACCAUGUUGUAGUACGUGUUUUUCUCGUCGUUUUGGUAUAUUAUAUGUUUAAUUUGGGGUCCGGAAACGUAUAGAAAAAGCUGUUUGAUUCUUGAUGGAUGUUCUUGAAUUUCUGGGAAAUUGCUUGAAGCUUUUCAAUUCGUUUUGGGGAUUUUUAGUCCAUUGAUUCUGGGCGUAUGUUGAUAGCACCAUCAGGUAGAGCGAGUUGAGGGGAAUAAGUUUGUGUAUUUAGAUUGAAUGGAGGAGUUGUGGUUAAGCCUCGCCGGAGUUUUCAAGAAAUUCGGCGGCGGCAACUUCGAUCGGUUUUUCCAGCUGAUUGGCAAGCUUUUUGUUGAUUCUUAGAUCAUGAAUGGAUUUGUUGUAGUGUGUUUGAGGUAUCUGGAGCGUUUGGUAAAGAACGGUGGCCUGUACGGCCAUCUCCGGCGAGGUCGACGUCGGGGGGCGGCGGCCUGGCCAAAUUACAGUUUAGCCCCCCCAUGUUUUGGAAAUGAUGAAGUUCAGUCCUUGGACUUUUCGUUUUUGUAAAUCAAACCUCCGGCUUUCGAGUUUUACAAAACUAACCCCCAGUUUUCUAAACUUUCAAAUCAGCCCCUGUUUAAGUUUCCAAAGUUUAUAUUUUAAACCUUGGACUUUUAAAGACUUUCAAAAGUUUACAAAAUAAACCUUUUGAUUUAAUUUUCUAAAAUUGUUUUAUUUAAUUAUUUUAAAUUCCAAAAUAUAGUUUUUAAUUAUUUGUUUAUUCAAAAAUAAAUCUAAAUUAGUUUAUUAAUUACUUUUAAUUAGUAAUUAAUUAUUGUAAUUGGUCAAUUAAUUUAAAAGUUAAUUGAUUAAUUAUUUUAAUUAAUUAUUAAUUGAUUUUAAUUGGUUAAUUAAUUGGAUUUAAUUAUCCUUUUUGAUUUAAAAAUUCCGAAAAAUGGUUUCGAGCUUUAAAAUAUUUUUCCAAAUUAUUUUCAAGGCUCGAUAAUUGGUUAUGAAUGAUUUCAAGUCCAAUUUCAAGUAUUUGGGACUUGAUUAUUUAUCCGAAAAGUGAUUCUUUUAUCGAUUUUAAUUCCGAAAAAUGUUUAAAAAUUCUGGAAAAUUCCCGAAAAAUCAUUUUAAACCCGAGACUCGAUUUGACAUUAGUCGGGAUGGGAAAUCUUAUGUGUUAUGUGAUGUGUGUUAUUAGAGUGAUGUAUUAUGUGUUGAUAGAGGAAGUAGGAAACAAUUUGGAUCAUAUCUUUUGAUCCGUAAGCCGAAAUCGAGUGAAACGAAAGAGAGAUGAAAGCUCAUGGAGUCUAUUUUAAUAUGGCAAGAUAAUAUGAUCGAGUCUAGAAGGUGACUAUACGUUGUUUAAUAUGCACAAUGUGAUUAUAUGUUAUUUGAUUGCUAUUAAUUGAUGACUACGUGAUAUACAUGUUUAUUCAUGAUAGUAUAUGCGUGUGAUAAAUGAUUUGGAUGACAUAGUGUCGUGAGUUGAUUGAUAUUGGAUAAGAAUAUAUGGAUUAUAGUGAUUGGAUCUUGUUGGUUGAUUGUUGAUUGAGAUAGGAUAACAGGUGGAUAGUCUAAUAAAUAGACGAGACGAUGUCGGAUUUUCGAUAGGAUUCAUAUGAUAAUUGAUUGGUAAUAUGUUAUGUGGAAUAUGACUUGACUAUAUAUUAGAGUCAAAGCAUGAUUAUGUGUUAAGUGAUAUGUGAUAGGUUUAAAGGGGUAUAUAAGUGGGUAUCGAUAUACGUGAUAUGUAUAUGCGAUAUAUUGUUUAGUGACUAUAGUAUUAUCUUAUUCUCGUAAAGGAUUUGGACGAGACGUGUACGCUCGAAGACGUCAGAAAGUCGGAAUGGUAUUGCAAAGCGAAUAAGGGAUGAAUCGAGUAAGCGAAGCGAUGUGGCGAAUAGAGUAUAGCUAGAGAUGGUCUAGAGAUUACGAGAUGCAUAGAUUGUGAAAGUUGAAAGAUGAGAUAGAGAUGUGAGACUGGAGUCAGAUUUAAGGCAAGUAUCCUAAACCUUUCCCUUGGAUAUAUUGCAAAUAUUCUGAUCCAUUCCUUUGGUAUAUGUUUCAAGUAUUCAUACCUUUCUUUUCAAUGUUCGAAAGUGCGAGUAUUCUGAACCAUUCUUUCUAAUCUUCAAGUUUCUAAAGAAUUUCCGUUUUACAAAUUAAUUCGAAGUUCAGAUUGUCAUUGAAGCAUGUGUUGCUCAGUGAUAGUUAGAGCUUUGAAUGAAUUGGGAUCUUCUUGAUUAUUCAACCCGCCAUUGUCAUGCUGGUUUAGCAGGCUAAAUUCAGUUGCUUAGCCGAUAAUGGAGGAUACUGAAUAGUUGAGGAUUUCCUGAACUGUGAUUUAUGAAAUGAUGGAUCAUGAUUUAUGAAUAGAUUAUUAUCAAAGUUUGAAUUGGAAUUAUUCUGUUGUUGAUGAUAUUUAUGAUGAUGUUCUGUUAAUUUACAUUGGCUUCUUGAAUUGAAUUAGAGAAUUGGAUUAUUGUUUUUAUAUAAACCUGUGGACCAGAUUCGUGGUCAUGUUAGGCCAAUGAGUGCCUUGGAUCCAGUGAUAGAGCAUGGCGGGGCCUGCUCGGGGUUAGUGCGGAACUGAUCAGCUGCCUAACCUUGGUUUUAAUUAAAAUGUGAUAGUCCAAUUCAAUAAUUCUUUUGGAAAGAUUGAAUUCCUCAGUAUUCAAUUGCUGCAAGGUAUUGUGGUGUUCUUAUACAAUACCUAAACUCGUGAACUCAGGUUGAACCCUUUUAUAUCUUGAACUCGUGAAAUUCUAUUAUAUCAUUUCAGAACUAUCAUUGUUUAUUAUUACUUGCUGAGCAUUGUUGCUCACCCUUGCUAUUCCUUUCUAACCAUUUCAGAAAGGCUUAAAGAUGAGAUGAUUGAUUGAGAUUGUGAGUAAGGCUAAUGCUAGGCGAGGAGACAGAGUUGAGGAUCCAGUGGUCGAGGAGUGUUCAGGAAAGUUGAUGAGGUUGGUGCAAGCUGGAAUAGUUGACAGUGAUUCUUCUUAUCGAAGAUGAUCUGAUUUGGUAAGAGAUGUUGUGUAAUAAUAGUGGUAGAUUCUAAUUUCAAUACUGUAACCUGGAUGCGAUCCUGUUGCUUUUAGGGGGUUUAAAUGUUCUCUUUCGAAUCAUUUAUUAAAGUUUAAAUGUUCUCUUGAAAUUAUCCUAUUAUGGCUUUCAAGAUUGAAAUUCAGGUUUUGAAAUCAUUCGAUUUAUGUUCUCAUUCAAAUCUUUUAUUAAAUGUUUUCACGUUUUAAAUUCUUUUGGAUUUUCAUUAUCAUUUAAAAAAAAAAAAUACAGGUUUUCAAAAGUGUUUAAAAAUGGGUUUUAUGUGGUGACGUCAGAAUCCAGGCCCCCGGAUUCUCGGACCGUCACAGUUGGUAUCAGAGCAACAGGUUAUAAGUAUUUGAAAUUAGAAUAUAGAUCAUAGUUAUAGGUUUUCUAGAGAAGAAUGUGGUGUAACCUCACAUAGAGGUAUGGUCGGACUAUUUAGGAAUAGUCUAGAGAUGUGAGUGAAGCAUAGAGUUUAGUUAGAUGAUCAAGUUAAUUGUGGAUAUCUAAAGAGAUUAGGAUUCUUAAGUUUAGACAUAUGAUUUCUAGUAUGUUGAUUAAUUGAGAUGGUGAAUUAUGGGAAAGGUCAGUAUUAGACCUAUAUAGAAGAGUUUGAUAGUGAAUGAUUGAGUUGAGAAUGGUGAAAAUGCAGAGUUCAGAGUAUUCUGACUAUACUGCAUAUUUGAAAUUGGAUUAUUGUAUUGAUUUGAGGAUGAUAUAAAUGCAUGGUUCAUAGUAUGUUGACCAUGUCAGAUAUUUGGAAGAUGUAUAUUGUUUUGAGUGAAGAUAUGAAGAGUAAGUGUAGAGUAUGAGUUGUAUUGGAUUAGAAGGAGAGAUUGGUAGAUAGAGGUUGAUAGGUGAGAAGUGAAUGAUAGAGAGUACGUGGAAUUGAGUCCAGUUAUUAGAGAUGAUGUCUACGAGUAAGUUAGAACGUUAGUCCUCGACGACAACGCUUCGAGCUAAUCGGGAUUUCAAAUGGCAUCAAGGUGGGCCCAUAACCCACAGGUUGAUGAUCCAGACAAUCGAAGAUACGUUACGUGUUUGUGCUAUGGAUUUCAAAGGCAACUGGGAUAAAGUAGAAGAAUGUAAACUACAUGGGCCAGAGUUAUUACGGACGAUAACGUCUACGAUGAUAUUUUACGAGGCUAAUACGAGUCAAAUCGAUUGAUUAUCGGGAACGUUGAGAAGAAGACUUACGUCGAACAACGAUUUAUUGAAGUAGAGUCGAAAUCUGAGAAGACCUUGGCAAUACCUCUCUUCAACUAAAGAUUCUUUUGAUUGUUUUCUCAUCAGUGAGAUAUUAUUAUGAUAUCUUUUCUACAAAAGUUUUGAUAAAUGAGAUCUUCAAUUUCUCAAAUUCUAAGAUGACAUUGAUAUUGAUGAUUGGUAUGAGUUGGAAGACAAAGAUGUGUGAUAAAGGAUUGUUGUGAAGAGACAGUGAUGUUCUUUGAUAUUGUUUGACAUUUCUUGACAGUCCUUGAUAUUAUUUCAUCUUCUUGGAUAUCCCAUGAUGUUCUUUGAUAUUUUGAUAUCCGUUGAUAUUCGUUGAUAUUCUUUGACAUUCUUUGAUAUUCCUUGAUAUCUUUUCGAUGUUCCUUAAAAUAUUCCUCGAUAAUCCUUAACAUUUCUUGAUGCUCUUUGAGAUUUCUUGGAUUCUUUCCAUUUGAUUGGGAUGAACAACUCUAUUUAUAGGGGACACAAGGUAUACCUGUCUGUGUGAUAGGAGUUGGAUGGGACGCCAUCACUUGUGUGUGUUGUGAUUACAAGAAGGUUAACAACCUUUAGUAGUGUCUAAUAUAGACACGCAACAUUAAGUUCAUUUGAUCGUAUUGAUCUCCCAGUCACUCUUGUAUUCCAAUGUGACCUACUUUGAAAGCAUUUUGUUCCUCCAAAAUUCCCAAAGAUUGAUUCUUGGGAAAACGAAUUUGGCAAUUGUGAAAGUUUUGAUUCUCCUGUAUUUUUAAAAGCUAAAGGUAUGCCAAGGUUGAUCAAAAGAUGGAUGACGAUACGAUAUUACGAAGUGUGUACGGUUUCGUUUUCUUCGGGGGGUUCCGAGGACGGAAUCCUUAUAAGGGGGUAGAAUGUAAUAUCCCAUAUUUUUUAAAUUUAGACUUGAUUGUUAUAAAUCUAUCUGUCUAAAUAUUAUUGUUGGCUUUAGUUGAGAAGUGAAUUGAUUAUGUGAAUAGCUUUAUAUGAUUAUACCUGUUUUGUGGAUUAAUAUGGAUUUUACAAAUAUUGCAUCCUCCUUCUUUCUCUGAUUCCGAGGACGGAAUCCCUAUAAGGAGGGUAGAUUGUAAUGACCCGGAUUUUUUAAAAAUAUUUUUAUUAGUAUUAAAAGUGAUUUUUCUUUAAAGAAGGGAAUAAGAUUUAAUAUUUUAUUCCAGUUUAAGGAGUUUUCAAAAUUUUAUACUAAACCCCGGGUUAUUGUGUUAUUGAUAAAUGAUUAUAUUUUUAAAACUGAUUUUCAUAUAUUGUUUCGAAAAUUCUAGAUGAUUAUUAUGUGAAUAUAUGUGUGAUGUGAGUAAGUGGUAUUGGUGGAUUUGUUGGUUAAUUAAUUAUGGUUAAUUAUGAGUAUUAUAUGAUUAAUAUAUGAAUUUUUGUGAAUUUUAUAUUAUCUGGUUUAUUGCGUUAACUGCUCAUAUGUGUUCGUAUUUGAGAGAUUUCAAUUUCUAUAUGCUCAGGAGAAAAUAUAGUUUAUUUGGAUAUUUUCAUAUCGAUUUAUGGAAUGUUAGAUGAUUUUAUAAUCGAUUUACGGAUUUAAUUGCGUAUAUUUAUAUUUAAUUAUUAAUUAUUUGACUUCCGUAAAACCGUCCACUCGUAACGAGGUAGCAAAUUUUCUUCCCGGAAGUUUCAACAAAACUGACCUUUAGCCUAAUUUGAAUAUUCCGGACACUUUUCGUGUUUUGACUUUUUCGAUCCGGAGUACGGUUUUCCCCGGAGUCGGUCCGGCGGAGUUUUUCGGGUAUUUUAAUUGUUGAUAAUUAUCCAGUUUGUCUCGAUAAACGUGAAACGAGAUAUUUUGAUUAUUAUAUUAAUUCUUAUCUUGUAAUAAUUGCAAUGGGACCCGCAUACUAAUGACUGAUUAAAAAGCCCCGUUUUGAUGAUUAUCUUGAAAACCAGUACCGAUUGGACCCCGCUUUAUUAAUAUAAAGCUAUUAAAUACGUAUUUUCAUGUCAUAAACGAUCCAAAGGGGUACCAAUUAUUUGUAAAUAUAAAUAGACCUUUCUAGAGCUUAUUUUCACCCGUAAAAUCAUUUCACCAGUUUCUUUGCACGAAUACCGAGAGAAACCGAGCGGUGUUCUUCGUGUUCUUCAUAAUCAAACGAAGAUUUGAAGGUGUUAUUGGAGUCAGAAUCAAGCGUGCAAAUAGUCAAAUCGAAGAUAUCGAAGAGUAGAACCCAAAUCAAUCAUCAAAAACAACAUGAGAUUCACAGGUAGGGAGUAAUUGAAGUUUUAAAAUUCGAAUUAUUAUGAUUUAAAUAGUGAAUUUUUGCAAACGUGUUUGUUUGAUUGUUUGGAUGAUUCCAUGUUGUAGAACGUGUUUUUCUCGUCGUUUUGGUAUAUUAUAUGUUGAAUUUUGAGUUCGGAAACAUCUAGAAAAGUGGGUUUGAUUAUUUGGUUGUGUUCUUGGUGUUCUUGAGGUGUUCAUAAAUAUUUUCACCGGAUUUUUUAUUAGAUGAAUCUGGGUGCAAUAUGAGGGUACCAUCAGGGGUGUUGGGUUACCAGGAGUUUGUUGGUGGUCUUGGAUGUUUCGUGGGUGCUCGAUUUCGAGCAAAUCGGGAAGGGAGGUGACUCGCCGGCGGCGAGUUUUUCCCGUCAUAUUCCAGCCAAACGGCUUGAGGAAUCGCAGAAACGAAGCCAUGUCCAAGUUCCCAGUAGUGUCUAGGCCAUAUCUGGAGGUUUUAGUGUGUGUUGGAGCGCUGUAGCGCCGUUAACGGUGAAGCAGUGGUGGCCGGCGGCAAAUUGCCAUUUGGCCACCCAACUUAUGAAGAUGGUGAAGAUCUGGUAUCGAGGUUUUGAAUCUUACAAAGUAACCCCUGUAACUUCUAAAAGUUACAGUUUAAACCUUGGCCGAAAAGUUUCAAAAGUUUACAAAAUAAACCUUUUGAUUUAAUUUUCUAAAAUUGUUUUAUUUAAUUAUUUUAAAUUUCAAAAAUAGUUUUUAAUUAUUUCUUUAUUCAAAAAUAAAUCUAAAUUAGUUUAUUAAUUAAUUUUAAUUAGUAAUUAAUUAUUUUAAUUGGUCAAUUAAUUUAAAUAUUAAUUGAUUAAUUAUUUUAAUUAAUUAUUAAUUGAUUUUAAUUGAUUAAUUAAUUGGAUUUAAUUAUCCUUUUUGAUUUAAAAAUUCCGAAAAAUAGUUUCGAGCUUUAAAAUAUUUUUCCAAAUUAUAUUCAAGGCUCGAUAAUUGUUUAUGAAUGAUUUCAAGUCCAAUUUCAAGUAUUUGGGACUUGAUUAUUUAUCCGAAAAGUGAUUCUUUUAUCGAUUUUAAUUCCGAAAAAUGUUUAAAAAUUCCAGAAAAUUCCCGAAAAAUCAUUUUGAACCCAAGAUUUGAUUUGACCUCUAUUGGGGUGGGAAACCUUAUGUGUAAUGUGUUGUCUGCUAUUGGUUGGAUGUCUUAUGUGUCGAUAUAAGAGUGAGAAAACGGUUUUAAACAUAUCUUUUGAUCCGUAAGUCGGAAUCGAGUGAAACGAAAGAGAGAUGAAAGCUUAUAAAGUCUAGUUUGGUAUGACAUAAUAAUAUGAUGGAGUCGAGAAUGUGAAUAAUUGUUGUUAAAUGUGCCGAAUGUGAUUAUAUGUUAUUGGAUUGUUAUUAAUUGAUGACUACGUGAUAUAUAUGUCUAUUCUUGAUAUUAUAUACGUGAUAAAUGAUUUGGAUGACAUAGUGUCGUGAGUUGAUUGAUAUUGGAUAAGAAUAUAUGGAUUAUAGUGAUUGGAUCUUGUUGAUUGGUUGUUGAUUGAGAUAGGAUAACAGGUGGAUAGUCUUAUACAUAGAGGAAACGAUGUCGGAAUUUCGAUAAGGAUUGAUAUGAUAAUUGAUUGGUGAUAUGUUAUGUGGAAUAUGAUUGAUUAUAUGUUAGAGUCAAAGCAUGCUUAUGUGUUACGUGGUAUGUGAUAGGUUUAAAGGGGUAUAUAAGUGGAUAUCGAUAUACGUGAUAUGUAUAUGCGAUAUAUUGUUUAGUGACUAUAGCAUUAUCUUAUUCUCGUAAAGGAUUUGGACGAGACGUGUACGCUCGAAGACGUCAGAAAGUCGGAAUGGUAUUGCAAAGCGAAUAAGGGAUGAUUGAGUAAGCGAAGCGAAGUGGCGAAUAGAGUAUAGCUAGAGAUGGUCUAGAGAUUACGAGAUGCAUAGAUUGUGAAAGUGGAAAGAUGAGAUAGAGAUGUGAGACUGGAGUCAGAUUUAAGGCAAGUAUCCUACACCCAUCUUUUGGAUAUCUUGCAAUUAUCCUGAUCCAUUCUUUUCGUAUGUGUUGCAAAUAUUCGUUCCUCUCUUUUUCAUAUUUGGAAAGUGCAAAUAUUUUUAUCCAUCCUUUUCUAAUCCUCCAAAAAUUCAGAUAAUUCCAGUUUUACAAAUUAAUUCGAAGUUCAAAUUGUCAUUGAAGCAUGUGUUGCUCAGUGAUAGUUAGAGCUUUGAAUGAAUUGGGAUCUUCUUGAUUAUUCACCCCGCCAUUGUCAUGCUGGUUUAGCAGGCUAAAUUCAGUUGCUUAGCCGAUAAUGGAGGAUACUGAAUAGUUGAGGAUUUCCUGAACUGUGAUUUAUGAAAUGAUGGAUCAUGAUUUAUGAAUAGAUUAUUAUCAAAGUUUGAAUUGGAAUUAUUCUGUUGUUGAUGAUAUUUAUGAUGAUGUUCUGUUAAUUUACAUUGGCUUCUUGAAUUGAAUUAGAGAAUUGGAUUAUUGUUUUUAUAUAAACCUGUGGACCAGAUUCGUGGUCAUGUUAGGCCAAUGAGUGCCUUGGAUCCAGUGAUAGAGCAUGGCGGGGCCUGCUCGGGGUUAGUGCGGAACUGAUCAGCUGCCUAACCUUGGUUUUAAUUAAAAUGUGAUAGUCCAAUUCAAUAAUUCUUUGGAAAGAUUGAAUUUCUCAGUUUAAAUGCUGCAAGGUAUUGUAAAUCAUUCUAUACAAUACCAUGAACUCAUGAACUCAGGUUGAAUCCUCUUAUAUCUUGAACUCGUGAACUUCUGUUAUAUCAUUUCAGAACUAUCAUUGUUUAUUAUUACUUGCUGAGCAUUGUUGCUCACCCUUGCUAUUCCUUUCUAACCAUUUCAGAAAGGCUUAAAGAUGAGAUGAUUGAUUGAGAUUGUGAGUAAGGCUAAUGCUAGGCGAGGAGACAGAGUUGAGGAUCCAGUGGUCGAGGAGUGUUCAGGAAAGUUGAUGAGGUUGGUGCAAGCUGGAAUAGUUGACAGUGAUUCUUCUUAUUGAGGAUGAUCUGAUUUGGUAAGAGAUGUUGUGUAAUAAUAGUGGUAGAUUCUAAUUUCAAUACUGUAACCUGGAUGCGAU
rnacentral:lncRNA from 1 species